GUGCCUACUGAGCUGAAACAG
rnacentral:ncRNA from 2 species